rnacentral:rRNA from 1 species
UACGUAGGGUGCAAGCGUUGUCCGGAAUUAUUGGGCGUAAAGAGCUCGUAGGCGGUUUGUUGCGUCGGCUGUGAAAUCCCGAGGCUCAACCUCGGGUCUGCAGUCGAUACGAGCAAAAUAGAGUGUUGCAGGGGAGACUGGAAUUCCUGGUGUAGCGGUGAAAUGCGCAGAUAUCAGGAGGAACACCGGUGGCGAAGGCGGGUCUCUGGGCAACAACUGACGCUGAGGAGCGAAAGCGUAGGGAGCAAACAGG